GACGGAACGCUGGCGGGCGUGCUUAACACAUGCAAGUCGAACGGAAAGGCCCUGCUUUUGUGGGGUGCUCGAGUGGCGAACGGGUGAGUAACACGUGAGUAACCUGCCCUUGACUUUGGGAUAACUUCAGGAAACUGGGGCUAAUACCGGAUAGGAGCUCCUGCUGCAUGGUGGGGGUUGGAAAGUUUCGGCGGUUGGGGAUGGACUCGCGGCUUAUCAGCUUGUUGGUGGGGUAGUGGCUUACCAAGGCUUUGACGGGUAGCCGGCCUGAGAGGGUGACCGGCCACAUUGGGACUGAGAUACGGCCCAG
rnacentral:rRNA from 1 species